rnacentral:rRNA from 1 species
GACGAACGCUGGCGGCGUGCCUAAUACAUGCAAGUAGAACGCUGAAGAGAGGAGCUUGCUCUUCUUGGAUGAGUUGCGAACGGGUGAGUAACGCGUAGGUAACCUGCCUUGUAGCGGGGGAUAACUAUUGGAAACGAUAGCUAAUACCGCAUAACAAUGGAUGACACAUGUCAUUUAUUUGAAAGGGGCAAUUGCUCCACUACAAGAUGGACCUGCGUUGUAUUAGCUAGUAGGUGAGGUAAUGGCUCACCUAGGCGACGAUACAUAGCCGACCUGAGAGGGUGAUCGGCCACCCUGGGACUGAGACACGGCCCAGACUCCUACGGGAGGAAGCAGUAGGGAAUCUUCGGCAAUGGGGGCAACCCUGACCGAGCAACGCCGCGUGAGUGAAGAAGGUUUUCGGAUCGUAAAGCUCUGUUGUAAGUCAAGAACGGGUGUGAGAGUGGAAAGUUCACACUGUGACGGUAGCUUACCAGAAAGGGACGGCUAACUACGUG